AUUUACGUAGUUUAAAAAAAACAACUCAUUUUCAAUGAGUAAAAAAUAUAAAUUUAUUAGUAAAUA
rnacentral:tRNA from 1 species